rnacentral:misc_RNA from 1 species
GUUUGUAUCCGAAGAAGUGGCCAGGAUGUUGAAAAAAUCAUCACUGGUGACGAAAUUUUGAAUGAAUAUAAGAAGAAUAUCCGAGUCGUGGAUGAAGUAGUACCAAACGGAAUCAGUUCAACGGGACUAAGGGACUGCAUCUCAAAAGGGUUAUCAGUGAAAUACUUGACAGCUGAUGAAGUAAUUGAUUAUAUCAAACAACACAAUCUUUACAAAGGGCAAUGAUCCAACAACUGACUCCAAUUAUAAUUUUUUUUAAAAAAAUAAAGUGCAAGUACAUAUCCUACUUCAUGUGAUUAAGAACACACAUAAAACCCAAGUUCUCUUUAAAAGUGCAUCUAUAUAUGAAGCGUCCACUUGAGACUUCACUAGA